GAUGAACGCUGGCGGCGUGCCUAAUACAUGCAAGUCGAACGCAUAGCGAAAGGUGCUUGCACCUUUCAAGUGAGUGGCGAACGGGUGAGUAACACGUGGACAACCUGCCUCAAGGCUGGGGAUAACAUUUGGAAACAGAUGCUAAUACCGAAUAAAACUUAGUGUCGCAUGACACAAAGUUAAAAGGCGCCUCGGCGUCACCUAGAGAUGGAUCCGCGGUGCAUUAGUUAGUUGGUGGGGUAAAGGCCUACCAAGACAAUGAUGCAUAGCCGAGUUGAGAGACUGAUCGGCCACAUUGGGACUGAGACACGGCCCAAACUCCUACGGGAGGCUGCAGUAGGGAAUCUUCCACAAUGGGCGAAAGCCUGAUGGAGCAACGCCGCGUGUGUGAUGAAGGCUUUCGGGUCGUAAAGCACUGUUGUAUGGGAAGAACAGCUAGAAUAGGAAAUGAUUUUAGUUUGACGGUACCAUACCAGAAAGGGACGGCUAAAUACGUG
rnacentral:rRNA from 1 species